rnacentral:rRNA from 1 species
CCUACGGGGUGCAGCAGGCGCGAAAACUUUACAAUGCGGGCAACCGUGAUAAGGGAACCUCGAGUGCCUGUAAAUGCAGGCUGUUCAGAUGCCUAAAACACAUCUGGAGAAAGGGCCGGGCAAGACCGGUGCCAGCCGCCGCGGUAAUACCGGCGGCUCGAGUGGUGGCCACUUUUAUUGGGCUUAAAGCGUUCGUAGCUGGGUUGUUAAGUCUCUUGGGAAAUCUGGCGGCUUAACCGUCAGGCGUCUAAGGGAUACUGGCAAUCUUGGAACCGGGAGAGGUGAGGGGUACUUCGGGGGUAGGAGUGAAAUCCUGUAAUCCUCGAGGGACCACCUGUGGCGAAGGCGCCUCACCAGAACGGCUUCGACAGUGAGGGACGAAAGCUGGGGGAGCAAACCGGAUUAGAUACCCGGGUAGUCC